rnacentral:rRNA from 1 species
UACGUAGGGUGCGAGCGUUGUCCGGAAUUAUUGGGCGUAAAGAGCUUGUAGGCGGUUUGUCGCGUCUGCUGUGAAAUCUCAAGGCUCAACCUUGAGCUUGCAGUGGGUACGGGCAGACUAGAGUGUGGUAGGGGAGACUGGAAUUCCUGGUGUAGCGGUGAAAUGCGCAGAUAUCAGGAGGAACACCGAUGGCGAAGGCAGGUCUCUGGGCUGUGAACUGACGCUGGAGGAGCGAAGGCAUGGGGAGCGAACAGG